rnacentral:rRNA from 1 species
GAUGAACGCUGGCGGCGUGCCUAAUACAUGCAAGUCGAGCGAAUGGAUUAAGAGCUUGCUCUUAUGAAGUUAGCGGCGGACGGGUGAGUAACACGUGGGUAACCUGCCCAUAAGACUGGGAUAACUCCGGGAAACCGGGGCUAAUACCGGAUAACAUUUUGAACCGCAUGGUUCGAAAUUGAAAGGCGGCUUCGGCUGUCACUUAUGGAUGGACCCGCGUCGCAUUAGCUAGUUGGUGAGGUAACGGCUCACCAAGGCAACGAUGCGGAGCCGAGCUGAGAGGGGGAUCGGCCACACUGGGACUGGGACUCGGCCCAGACUCCUACGGGAGGCAGCAGUAGGGAAUCUUCCGCAAUGGAAGAAAGUAUGACGGAGCAACGCCGCGUGAGUGAUUAAGGCUUUCGGGUCGUAAAACUCUGUUGUUAGGGAAGAACAAGUGCUAGUUGAAUAAGCUGGCACCUUGACGGUACCUAACCAGAAAGCCACGGCUAACUACGUGCCAGCCGCCGCGGUAA